rnacentral:rRNA from 1 species
AUUGAACGCUGGCGGCAGGCCUAACACAUGCAAGUCGAGCGAGCGGCGGACGGGUGAGUAAUGUAUGGGGACUGCCCGAUAGAGGGGGAUAACUACUGGAAACGGUGGCUAAUACCGCAUACUAUCGGAUAACCCAUAUGGGAUUAGCUAGUUGGUGGGGUAAAGGCUCACCAAGGCAACGAUCCGUAGCUGGUUUGAGAGGACGACCAGCCACCCUGUGACGGAGACACGGCCCCGACUCCUACGGAGGCAGCAGUGGGGAAUUUUGGACAAUGGGGGAAACCCUGAUCCAGCCAUCCCGCGUGUAUGAUGAAGGCCUUCGGGUUGUAAAGUACUUUUGGCAGAGAAGCGGUAUCUGCAGAAUAAGCACCGGCUAACUACGUGCCAGCAGCCGCGGUAAUUC